rnacentral:rRNA from 1 species
GAGUUUGAUCUUGGCUCAGAUUGAACGCUAGCGGGAUGCCUUACACAUGCAAGUCGAACGGCAGCACGGACUUCGGUCUGGUGGCGAGUGGCGAACGGGUGAGUAAUGUAUCGGAACGUGCCUAGUAGCGGGGGGAUAACUACGCGGAAGCGUAGCUAAUACCGCAUACGCCCUACGGGGAAAGGCAGGGAUCGCAAGACCUUGCACUAUUAGAGCGGCCGAUAUCGGAUUAGCUAGUUGGUGGGGUAACGGCUCACCAAGGCGACGAUCCGUAGCUGGUUUGAGAGGACGACCAGCCACACUGGGACUGAGACACGGCCCAGACUCCUACGGGAGGCAGCAGUGGGGAAUUUUGGACAAUGGGGGAAACCCUGAUCCAGCCAUCCCGCGUGUGCGAUGAAGGCC